rnacentral:rRNA from 1 species
GACGAACGCUGGCGGCGUGCUUAACACAUGCAAGUCGAGCGGUAAGGCCCUUUCGGGGGUACACGAGCGGCGAACGGGUGAGUAACACGUGGGUGACCUGCCCUCAGCUCUGGGAUAAGCCCGGGAAACUGGGUCUAAUACCGGAUAUGACUCCAUGACGCAUGCUGUGGGGUGGAAAGCCUUGUGCGGCUGAGGAUGGGCCCGCGGCCUAUCAGCUUGUUGGUGGGGUGAGGCCUACCAAGGCGACGACGGGUAGCCGGCCUGAGAGGGCGACCGGCACACUGGGACUGAGAUACGGCCCAGACUCCUACGGGAGGCAGCAGUGGGGAAUCUUGCGCAAUGGGCGAAAGCCUGACGCAGCGACGCCGCGUGAGGGAUGACGGCCUGGUGUAA